UAAAGCGUGCGCAGGCGGUUUUGUAAGACUGUCGUGAAAUCCCCGGGCUCAACCUGGGAAUGGCGAUGGUGACUGCAAGGCUAGAGUUUGGCAGAGGGGGGUAGAAUUCCACGUGUAGCAGUGAAAUGCGUAGAUAUGUGGAGGAACACCGAUGGCGAAGGCAGCCCCCUGGGUCAAAACUGACGCUCAUGCACGAAAGCGUGGGGAGCAAACAGGAUUAGAUACCCCAG
rnacentral:rRNA from 1 species